GUCGAACGAAGCACUUUAUUUGAUUUCCUUCGGGACUGAUUAUUUUGUCACUGAGUGGCGGACGGGUGAGUAACGCGUGGGUAACCUGCCUUGUACAGGGGGAUAACAGUUGGAAACGGCUGCUAAUACCGCAUAAGCGCACAGCAUCGCAUGAUGCAGUGUGAAAAACUCCGGUGGUAUAAGAUGGACCCGCGUUGGAUUAGCUAGUUGGUGAGGUAACGGCCCACCAAGGCGACGAUCCAUAGCCGACCUGAGAGGGUGACCGGCCACAUUGGGACUGAGACACGGCCCAAACUCCUACGGGAGGCAGCAGUGGGGAAUAUUGCACAAUGGGCGAAAGCCUGAUGCAGCGACGCCGCGUGAGCGAAGAAGUAUUUCGGUAUGUAAAGCUCUAUCAGCAGGGAAGAUAAUGACGGUACCUGACUAAGAAGCACCGGCUAAAUACGUGCCAGCAGCCGCGGUAAUACGUAUGGUGCAAGCGUUAUCCGGAUUUACUGGGUGUAAAGGGAGCGCAGGCGGUGCGGCAAGUCUGAUGUGAAAGCCCGGGGCUCAACCCCGGUACUGCAUUGGAAACUGUCGUACUGGAGUGUCGGAGGGGUAAGCGGAAUUCCUAGUGUAGCGGUGAAAUGCGUAGAUAUUAGGAGGAACACCAGUGGCGGAGGCGGCUUACUGGACGAUAACUGACGCUGAGGCUCGAAAGCGUGGGGAGCAAACAGGAUUAGAUACCCUGGUAGUCCACGCCGUAAGCGAUGAAUAC
rnacentral:rRNA from 1 species